rnacentral:rRNA from 1 species
AGAGUUUGAUCCUGGCUCAGGAUUAACGCUGGCGGCGUGCAUGAAACAUGCAAGUCGAGCGCGGUGUGAUGAGGGGUAACCCAAUUCACAUCUAGCGGCGAACGGGUGAGUAACACGUGAGCAACCUACCUUUGAGUUGGGGAUAGCCCUGGGAAACCAGGAUUAAUACCCGAUGUGGUCACAACAGGACAUCCUGAUGUGAGUAAAGGCGUAAGCCGCUCAAUGACGGGCUCGCGGCCUAUUAGCUUGUUGGUGGGGUAACGGCCUACCAAGGCGAUGAUGGGUAGCUGGUCUGAGAGGACGAUCAGCCACACUGGGACUGAGACACGGCCCAGACUCCUACGGGAGGCAGCAGUUAGGAAUUUUCCGCAAUGGGCGAAAGCCUGACGGAGCAACGCCGCGUGAGUGAUGAAGACCUUCGGGUUGUAAA